rnacentral:rRNA from 1 species
CGUUUAGACUCCUACGGGAGGCAGCAGUGGGGAAUAUUGCACAAUGGGGGAAACCCUGAUGGCAGCCAUGCCGCGUGUGUGAAGAAGGCCUUGGGUUGUAAAGCACUUUCAGUAGGGAAGGAAGGUAGUGUAGUUAACACCUGCAUUAUUUGACGUUACCUAACAGAAGAAGCACCGGCUAACUCCGUGCCAGCAGCCGCGGUAAUACGGAGGGUGCGAGCGUUAAUCGGAAUUACUGGGCGUAAAGCGCAUGCAGGCGGCCUGUUAAGUCAGAUGUGAAAGCCCGGGGCUUAACCUCGGAAUUGCAUUUGAAACUGGUAGGCUAGAGUCUUGUAGAGGGGGUAGAAUUUCAGGUGUAGCGGUGAAAUAGCGUAGAGAUCUGAAGGAAUACCAGUGGCGAAGGCGGCCCCCUGGACAGAUACUGACACUCAGAUGCGAAAGCGUGGGGAGCAAACAGGAUUAGAUACCCUGGUAG